rnacentral:rRNA from 1 species
UACAGAGGUCCCAAGCGUUGUUCGGAUUCAUUGGGCGUAAAGGGUGCGUAGGUGGCGCCGUAAGUCGGGUGUGAAAUUUCGGAGCUUAACUCCGAAACUGCAUUCGAUACUGCGGUGCUUGAGGACUGGAGAGGAGACUGGAAUUCAUGGUGUAGCAGUGAAAUGCGUAGAGAUCAUGAGGAAGACCAGUGGCGAAGGCGGGUCUCUGGGCAAUUCCUGACGCUGAGGCGCGAAAGCGUGGGGAGCAAACGGG